AGGAGUGACGUGGGCUAGCUCCAAUGCUCGUGGGGGCAACAGGGGUGUACAGGGGUACAUAGAAUCGGCUAACUAACAUAUAUCAGAACCCCUAAUCUGAACCCAAACCCAGGAUACAACAUCUGAUUGUUGAGCAUUGGUUUCUAUGAAAGAAAAUAUCUUAUAGCCAUGCCUGUCUACUAAGGGAGGUACCAGAGCUGUGAAAUUACCAGAGUUUAAACUUUUUGAAAGCACAAGACUCCUAAAGCAAGUUAGUAGGUCUCACUGUGAACAAAGGGUGAUAAUAGAAGGGACCUCAGAGCAUCCCUGCCUUAAAGCAGCUAUGGAGCUGGACCACGUUGCUCAUGCCCUGGGAACAUUCACAUCUCAGAGAAGAUCUGGACAUUCAGGUGUGCUUCAUUGAAGUCAAAAAACACUUUGAGAUCUUCAGAUGAAAGGUACUUGAAAAUUGAGGCAAGCAUAAAAAAGUUCGUCUUGUUUGAAGAGCAUGGACUGGAAUUGCAUACAUGAAUUAGACUUCAUACAAUAUUUGCUCUGACCAAAGCACUAAGACUUAUCACAUCUGCUCAGAUGAUGUCCCAGGAGUUUAAUCUGUACUGCAGAACUAGACCAGGACUGCUAUUACUGUUAUUUUAUUGUUAUAGUGCCCCUUAGACUCAUACUUUAGUUUCCCUCUCUGUAACAGAAAUGGGAGAGGUUAAGUGUUUUACUACUCUAGUUGCUCUGUAUAGUAUCCUCUGCAGAGUACGUUUAUACUCCCAGUCUUGUAAAUAUUGCACAUAAGAGAAACUUGCAUAAAAAAGGAAGACAUGAGGUUUUUAGAGAUGUGCUCUGGUUAUAAUAGUAAAAUAAUCACAGAACACAGACAAGACCCCUUGUAUGGAAAAAUGACUUUCAAAUACAUCUUUAUGUAGAGUA